GAUGAACGCUGGCGGCGUGCCUAAUACAUGCAAGUCGAGCGAACAGACGAGGAGCUUGCUCCUCUGACGUUAGCGGCGGACGGGUGAGUAACACGUGGAUAACCUACCUAUAAGACUGGGAUAACUUCGGGAAACCGGAGCUAAUACCGGAUAAUAUAUUGAACCGCAUGGUUCAAUAGUGAAAGACGGUUUUGCUGUCACUUAUAGAUGGAUCCGCGCCGCAUUAGCUAGUUGGUAAGGUAACGGCUUACCAAGGCAACGAUGCGUAGCCGACCUGAGAGAGUGAUCGGCCACACUGGAACUGAGACACGGUCCAGACUCCUACGGGAGGCAGCAGUAGAGAAUCUUCCGCAAUGGGGGAAAGCCUGACGGAGCAACGCCGCGUGAGUGAUGAAGGUCUUCGGAUCGUAAAACUCUGUUAUUAGGGAAGAACAAAUGUGUAAGUAACUAUGCACGUCUUGACGGUACCUAAUCAGAAAGCCACGGCUAACUACGUG
rnacentral:rRNA from 1 species